AAUUGUUUCUGUGUACCACAUUCAGAAAUGUAUCUGUGGAUACUGGCCAUGACACUGCUUCCCAGGGGAGUCUUCUCAAUCUUUUGGAUACCUUAAUGUGACAGAGCCAGUGAAUGGAGGCAGUCUUCUUGAACUCUCACUUCUGGAAAGGAGACCAGUGGAGGAGCUGAGGCAAAGAUACUCAGAGGCUGUGGGCCAGGAGCAGAGCUAGAGCCCACCUUCUUCAAACUGAAGCCAUGAUCACACCCCCUGCUGUCAUUGUGUCUACAGUCAUUGCCGAUUACUGCCAGUACUUUACAGCUGUAUAAAAAUACUCAUUCUGAAAAGCUGA